GAUUUACUUCGGUAAUGACGUUGGGAAAGCGAGCGGCGGAUGGGUGAGUAACACGUGGGGAACCUGCCCCUAAGUCUGGGAUACCAUUUGGAAACAGGUGCUAAUACCGGAUAAUAAAGCAGAUCGCAUGAUCAGCUUUUGAAAGGCGGCGUAAGCUGUCGCUAAGGGAUGGCCCCGCGGUGCAUUAGCUAGUUGGUAAGGUAACGGCUUACCAAGGCGACGAUGCAUAGCCGAGUUGAGAGACUGAUCGGCCACAUUGGGACUGAGACACGGCCCAAACUCCUACGGGAGGCAGCAGUAGGGAAUCUUCCACAAUGGACGCAAGUCUGAUGGAGCAACGCCGCGUGAGUGAAGAAGGUUUUCGGAUCGUAAAGCUCUGUUGUUGGUGAAGAAGGAUAGAGGUAGUAACUGGCCUUUAUUUGACGGUAAUCAACCAGAAAGUCACGGCUAACUACGUGCCAGCAGCCGCGGUAAUACGUAGGUGGCAAGCGUUGUCCGGAUUUAUUGGGCGUAAAGCGAGCGCAGGCGGAAAAAUAAGUCUAAUGUGAAAGCCCUCGGCUUAACCGAGGAACUGCAUCGGAAACUGUUUUUCUUGAGUGCAGAAGAGGAGAGUGGAACUCCAUGUGUAGCGGUGGAAUGCGUAGAUAUAUGGAAGAACACCAGUGGCGAAGGCGGCUCUCUGGUCUGCAACUGACGCUGAGGCUCGAAAGCAUGGGUAGCGAACAGGAUUAGAUACCCUGGUAGUCCAUGCCGUANACGAUGAGUGCUAAGUGUUGGGAGGUUUCCGCCUCUCAGUGCUGCAGCUAACGCAUUAAGCACUCCGCCUGGGGAGUACGACCG
rnacentral:rRNA from 1 species